GGAUUUACUGGGCGUAAAGCGUGCGUAGGCGGCUGAUUAAGUCGGAUGUGAAAUCCCUGAGCUUAACUUAGGAAUUGCAUUCGAUACUGGUCAGCUAGAGUAUGGGAGAGGAUGGUAGAAUUCCAGGUGUAGCGGUGAAAUGCGUAGAGAUCUGGAGGAAUACCGAUGGCGAAGGCAGCCAUCUGGCCUAAUACUGACGCUGAGGUACGAAAGCAUGGGGAGCAAACAGGAUUAGAUACCCUGGUAGUCCAUGCCGUAAACGAUGUCUACUAGCCGUUGGGGUCUUUGAGACUUUAGUGGCGCAGCUAACGCGAUAAGUAGACCGCCUGAGGAGUACGGUCGCAAGACUAAAACUCAAAUGAAUUGACGGGGGCCCGCACAAGCGGUGGAGCAUGUGGUUUAAUUCGAUGCAACGCGAAGAACCUUACCUGGUCUUGACAUAGUAGAAACUUUCCAGAGAUGGAUUGGUGCCUUCGGGAAUCUACAUACAGGUGCUGCAUGGCUGUCGUCAGCUCGUGUCGUGAGAUGUUGGGUUAAGUCCCGCAACGAGCGCAACCCUUUUCCUUAUUUGCCAGCACUUUGGGUGGGAACUUUAAGGAUACUGCCAGUGACAAACUGGAGGAAGGCGGGGACGACGUCAAGUCAUCAUGGCCCUUACGACCAGGGCUACACACGUGCUACAAUGGUUGGUACAAAGGGUUGCUACACAGCGAUGUGAUGCUAAUCUCAAAAAGCCAAUCGUAGUCCGGAUUGGAGUCUGCAA
rnacentral:rRNA from 1 species